GUGCCAGCAGCCGCGGUAAUACGAAGGGGGCUAGCGUUGUUCGGAAUUACUGGGCGUAAAGCGCACGUAGGCGGAUAUUUAAGUCAGGGGUGAAAUCCCGCAGCUCAACUGCGGAACUGCCUUUGAUACUGGGUAUCUUGAGUAUGGAAGAGGUAAGUGGAAUUCCGAGUGUAGAGGUGAAAUUCGUAGAUAUUCGGAGGAACACCAGUGGCGAAGGCGGCUUACUGGUCCAUUACUGACGCUGAGGUGCGAAAGCGUGGGGAGCGAACAGGAUUAGAUACCCUGGUAGUCCACGCCGUAAACGAUGGAUACUUGCUGUUGGAUUUUCGGAUUCAGUGGCUAAGCGAAAGUUAUAAGUAUCCCACCUGGGGAGUACGUUCGCAAGAAUGAAACUCAAAGGAAUUGACGGGGGCCCGCACAAGCGGU
rnacentral:rRNA from 1 species